AAGGAUCAUUAUUGAAUGAAUCUAGAGUUGGUUGUCGCUGGCCCCCAAUUGGGGCAUGUGCACGCCUUCUCUCCUUCAUCCACACACACACACCUGUGCACUUGUGAGACGGAGGAUUUGAAAAAAAAAAAAAAGUCCUCCGUCUACUUAAUCACACACAAACUCAAUUGUACUUGAACUGAAUGUAAUUGAUGUAACACAUCAUUGGAACAAAGUUUCAACAACGGAUCUCUUGGCUCUC
rnacentral:misc_RNA from 1 species